rnacentral:rRNA from 1 species
GGGAUUGCCCUAGUAACGGCGAGUGAAGCGGCAACAGCUCAAAUUUGAAAUCUGGCCUAGGCCCGAGUUGUAAUUUGCAGAGGAUGCUUCUGGCGCGGUGCCUUCCGAGUUCCCUGGAACGGGACGCCACAGAGGGUGAGAGCCCCGUAUGGUCGGACACCAAGCCUGUGUGAAGCUCCUUCGACGAGUCGAGUAGUUUGGGAAUGCUGCUCUAAAUGGGAGGUAAAUCUCUUCUAAAGCUAAAUACCGGCCAGAGACCGAUAGCGCACAAGUAGAGUGAUCGAAAGAUGAAAAGCACCUUGAAAAGGGGGUUAAAUAGUACGUGAAAUUGUUGAAAGGGAAGCACUUAUGACCAGACUUGGGCCGGGCGGCUCAUCAGGGGUUCUCCCCUGUGCACUCCGCCCGGCACAGGCCAGCAUCGGUUCUCGUGGGGGGAUAAGACCGUCAGGAACGUAGCACCCUCCGGGGUGUGUUAUAGCCUGGCGGACGAUACCCCCGCGGGGACCGAGGUCCGCGCUCCGCAAGGAUGCUGGCGUAAUGGUCAUCAGUGACCCGUCUUGAAACACGGACCAAGGAGUCGUCCAUUAGAGCGAGCGUUUGGGUGUAAAACCCGCACGCGUAAUGAAAGUGAACGCAGGUGAGAGCUUCGGCGCAUCAUCGACCGAUCCUGAUGUUCUCGGAAGGAUUUGAGUAAGAGUUUUAACGGACGGACCCGAAAGACAGUGAACUAUGCUUGUAUAGGGUGAAGCCAGAGGAAACUCUGGUGGAGGCUCGCAGCGGUUCUGACGUGCAAAUCGAUCGUCAAAUAUGAGCAUGGGGGCGAAAGACUAAUCGAACUGUCUAGUAGCUGGUUACCGCCGAAGUUUCCCUCAGGAUAGCAGUGUUGAUCUUCAGUUUUAUGAGGUAAAGCGAAUGAUUAGGGACUCGGGGGCUAUAUAUUGCCUUCAUCCAUUCUCAAACUUUAAAUAUGUAAGAAGCCCUUGUUACUUAGUUGAACGUGGGCAUUCGAAUGUACCAACACUAGUGGGCCAUUUUUGGUAAGCAGAACUGGCGAUGCGGGAUGAACCGAACGCGGGGUUAAGGCGCCAGAGUGUACGCUCAUCAGACACCACAAAAGGCGUUAGUACAUCUUGACAGCAGGACGGUGGCCAUGGAAGUCGGAAUCCGCUAAGGACUGUGUAACAACUCACCUGCCGAAUGUACUAGCCCUGAAAAUGGAUGGCGCUCAAGCGUACCGCCCAUACCCCGCCCCCAGGGUAGAAACGAUGCCCUGGGGAGUAGGCGGCCGUGGGGG